UACGUAGGGUGCGAGCGUUGUCCGGAAUUAUUGGGCGUAAAGGGCUCGUAGGCGGUUUGUCACGUCGGGAGUGAAAACUCAGGGCUUAACCCUGAGCCUGCUUCCGAUACGGGCAGACUAGAGGUAUGCAGGGGAGAAUGGAAUUCCCGGUGUAGCGGUGAAAUGCGCAGAUAUCGGGAGGAACACCGGUGGCGAAGGCGGUUCUCUGGGCCUUACCUGACGCUGAGGAGCGAAAGCGUGGGGAGCAAACAGG
rnacentral:rRNA from 1 species